GACGAACGCUGGCGGCGUGCUUAACACAUGCAAGUCGAGCGGUAAGGCCUUUCGGGGUACACGAGCGGCGAACGGGUGAGUAACACGUGGGUGAUCUGCCCUGCACUCUGGGAUAAGCCUGGGAAACUGGGUCUAAUACCGGAUAUGACUACAUGCUGCAUGGUGGGUGGUGUAAAGAUUUAUCGGUGCAGGAUGGGCCCGCGGACUAUCAGCGUGUUGGUGGGGUAAUGGGCUACCAAGGCGACGACGGGUAGCCGACCUGAGAGGGUGAACAGACUCGCUGGGACUGUGACACGGCCCAGACUCCUACGGGAGGCAGCAGUAGGGAAUAUUGCGCAAUGGGCGGAAGCCUGAUGCAGCGACGCCGCGUGAGGGAUGAAGGCCUUCGGGUUGUAAACCUCUUUCAGCAGUGACGAAGCGUGAGUGACGGUACCUGCAGAAGAAGCACCGGCUAUCUACGUGCCAGCCGCCGCUGUAACAC
rnacentral:rRNA from 1 species